rnacentral:lncRNA from 1 species
CGGAGGAUGGAAAAGUGAAAGCACCUUCCGGGGUCAGCCUGGGGGUGUGCGCCUCCGAAAACACGUGAUCCGUGCACAGAGCUAGUAGACACUUCCCGCAGCCAAUUUGAGUGGGUGGUUCAACCGCGUAACCAGAGCUUCUUAGGAAUGAUGGGGACGCCCAAAGUUGUGGCUUAGGGAGUCCCGCUCAGCGAGUGCAAAGUCCGCCCGAAGGAUGAAAUUGAAGAGGAGUGGAGAACCUGAAGCAGCAGUCAGUGAUGAAAGAUGGCACAAGUACAGCAGGCUCAAGGGUGUCAGCAAAACAGAAUGUGGAAAAAGACUUUCUAGAAAGUCACCUGGGGUGAUGGCAAGACCCAGAAGGAUAUCCAAUAUUUACUUGAAUGGAGCCAGUCUUUAAUGGAGAAGUAAGUAAAACAAACAAAAAUAGCCUGCAAAGAGAAACGUGUGAAGGAAAGUGCUCAAAUCAGGAGAGUCAGUCAAACUCGGGAAGUGGUGGAACAUUCAUUCUACAAGGGUUUUAGGUGAGAGAGAGGUUGUCUGUCUAACUCCCACGAGAUCAAACUCUUGACUUUGGUUCCAUGAGCGCCAGGAUACACUUGGUGCACAGACAUAUAUAUAGGUGAAACAUGCAUACAGAGAAAAAUAAGGAUGUUUAAAGAAUGGGAAUCGUUUUAAAAGGCAGACUUUAAAGGGUCUCAAAAUAACUGGACCCACUUGUUCCCUGAUGGAAUUGUACAGAGACCUGCAGAGACCGAUAGUGAAAUGAUCUUACCAGUCUUGAGUUUUCCUUACUCAUCUUUAAAUUAAUAAACUCUGGGGCAUGGCUUGAAUGACUCACCACCUUUAUUUUAGUUCCAGCUCCAGAGAAUCUGAAACAUCUGGAUUCCUUGAGGAUCUUCACUCUUCCUGCACACAACAGAUAAACAUACACACAGAGACAUAAAUAAAAGUAAUCCUUUCUGAGAUUUUAUUCCUAUUUUAGAGGUAGAGCCCAGGUCCAUCAGCUGUGUGUAAAACUAAUAACUAUUCAUUAAUUCCCAGAAACAAAACACACUAUAAUAAAAAAGUACAAUUAAGUCUAUACUUUUAAAAGUAAACAUUUAUGAAAGCUGUUUA